UGUGCUGACACCCAGUUUCACUUGUCUG
rnacentral:piRNA from 1 species